GUAGGGGGCUAGCGUUGUCCGGAAUCAUUGGGCGUAAAGCGCGCGUAGGCGGCCCGGUAAGUCCGCUCUGAAAGUCCAGGGCUCAACCCUGGAAAGCGGGUGGAUACUGCCGGGCUAGAAUCCGGAAGAGGCGAGUGGAAUUCCUGGUGUAGCGGUGGAAUGCGCAGAUAUCAGGAGGAACACCAAUAGCGAAGGCAGCUCGCUGGGACGGCAUUGACGCUGAGGCGCGAAAGCGUGGGGAGCGAACAGGAUUAGAUACCCUGGUAGUCCACGCCGUAAACGAUGGGCACUAGGUGUGGGAGGUGUCGACUCCUCCCGUGCCGGCGCUAACGCAUUAAGUGCCCCGCCUGGGGAGUACGGCCGCAAGGCUAAA
rnacentral:rRNA from 1 species